CUACAGGGGUAUCUAAUCCUGUUUGCUCCCCACGCUUUCGUGCCUCAGCGUCAAUGUCGGUCCAGAUAGCCGCUUUCGCCACUGGUGUUCCUGUCAAUAUCUACGCAUUUCACUGCUACACUGACAAUUCCGCUAUCCUCUCCCGAAUUCGAGUCUUGUAGUUUCAAAAGCAAUUCCAGGGUUAAGCCCUGGGCUUUCACUUCUGACUUACAAAACAGCCUACGCACGCUUUACGCCCAGUGAUUCCGAAUAACGCUCGCCCCCUUCGUAUUACCGCGGCUGCUGGCAC
rnacentral:rRNA from 1 species